CCUACGGGUGGCAGCAGUGGGGAAUAUUGGACAAUGGGGGCAACCCUGAUCCAGCCAUGCCGCGUGUGUGAAGAAGGCCCUCGGGUUGUAAAGCACUUUCAGUGAGGAAGAAAGCCUGGUGGUUAAUACCCAUCAGGAAAGACAUCACUCACAGAAGAAGCACCGGCUAACUCCGUGCCAGCAGCCGCGGUAAUACGGAGGGUGCGAGCGUUAAUCGGAAUUACUGGGCGUAAAGCGCGCGUAGGUGGCUUGAUAAGCCGGUUGUGAAAGCCCCGGGCUCAACCUGGGAACGGCAUCCGGAACUGUCAAGCUAGAGUGCAGGAGAGGAAGGUAGAAUUCCCGGUGUAGCGGUGAAAUGCGUAGAGAUCGGGAGGAACACCAGUGGCGAAGGCGGCCUUCUGGACUGACACUGACACUGAGGUGCGAAAGCGUGGGUAGCAAACAGGAUUAGAUACCCUAGUAGUC
rnacentral:rRNA from 1 species